UACAGAGGGUGCAAGCGUUGUUCGGAAUUAUUGGGCGUAAAGGGCGCGUAGGCGGUGCCGCAAGUCACCUGUGAAAUCUCCGGGCUUAACUCGGAGCCUGCAGGCGAAACUGUGGUGCUGGAGUGUGGGAGAGGUGCGUGGAAUUCCCGGUGUAGCGGUGAAAUGCGUAGAUAUCGGGAAGAACACCAGUGGCGAAAGCGCUCUACUGGGCCAUAACUGACACUGAGGGACGAAAGCUAGGGGAGCGAAAGGG
rnacentral:rRNA from 1 species